rnacentral:misc_RNA from 1 species
AAAGUCGUAACAAGGUUUCCGUAGGUGAACCUGCGGAAGGAUCAUUAUAAAAUUUUUCGUAUAUUUAUAUUUUUAAAUAUAUAAAAAAAAAAUGUAUUCAAAACCCCCACACUCUUGUAACCAAUUUAUAUAAAAUAUAUUAUCUCGCAUAUAAUAUAAUAAUAAUUAAAAACAACUUUCAACAACGGAUCUCUUGGCUCUC